GGGUUAGAGGAAGACUUUGGACCUCAUGGUUUGAAGGGAGAGAAUUUGAUGCUUCUUGUGGGGAAUGGAGAAGAUAGGGAUAUGGUUGAGGAGGAGGUUGUUGGGGUUGCAGAGGUGUGGGUUGAGGAGGUUGUGGGGGUGAAGGAGAAGGUUGUGAGGGUUGAAGGAGGAGGUUGUGGGUGGUGGAGGAAGAGGUUGUGACAGAGUUGGAGGAGGAGGAUGCAAGGGUUGAGUAAGAGGUUGUGGAGUUAGAAAAAGAGGUUGAGGAGAUGGAGGAGGAGGCUGUGGAGUUAGAAAGGGAGGUUGUGUGGGUUGAAGAAGGAGGAGGAGGUUGUGGGGAGGUUCAGAAGGUGGUUAGGUGGAGCUGAGGAAGAAGUGGAGAUGAAGGAGGAGGAGGAGGUUGAGAUGGAGGUUUUGUAGGGUGAGAAGAUUCUGGAGGUUGAGGAGGAGGUUUUAGAUGUCGAGGAGGAGGUUCUGGAGGUUGAGGAGGAGGUUACAGAGAUUGAAGAGGAGGUUUUGAAGGUCGAGAAGAGGGUUGUGUGAGGAUGAGGUUAUGGAGAUCUAUGAGGAGGUUGUGGAUAUCGAGGAGGAGGUUGCGGAGGUUGAGAGGUUAUGGAGAUCGGGAAAGAGGUUGCGGAGGUUGAGAGAGGUUAUGGAGGUUGAGGAAAGGGUUCUGGAGGUUGAGAAAGAAGUGGAGUUCGAGUAGAAGGUUCUGAUGGAAGAGGUUUUUUCAUUCUCUCUCUCUCUCUCUCUCUCUCUCUCUCUCUCUCUCUCUCUCUCUCUCUCUCUCUCUCUCUCUCUCUCUCUCAUUUACCACUCCUUAUACAUUGAUUUUACUUUUUUUCAUCUUAUUUUCUCUUUCAAAGCUAACACUCUCUCUCUCUCUCCCUCUCUCUCUCUCUCUCUCUCUCUCUCUCUCUCUCUCUCUCUCACGUAAA